rnacentral:rRNA from 1 species
GGUUAAGCGACUAAGCGUACACGGUGGAUGCCCUGGCAGUCAGAGGCGAUGAAGGACGUGCUAAUCUGCGAUAAGCGUCGGUAAGGUGAUAUGAACCGUUAUAACCGGCGAUUUCCGAAUGGGGAAACCCAGUGUGUUUCGACACACUAUCAUUAACUGAAUCCAUAGGUUAAUGAGGCGAACCGGGGGAACUGAAACAUCUAAGUACCCCGAGGAAAAGAAAUCAACCGAGAUUCCCCCAGUAGCGGCGAGCGAACGGGGAGCAGCCCAGAGCCUGAAUCAGUGUGUGUGUUAGUGGAAGCGUCUGGAAAGGCGCGCGAUACAGGGUGACAGCCCCGUACACAAAAAUGCACAUGCUGUGAGCUCGAUGAGUAGGGCGGGACACGUGGUAUCCUGUCUGAAUAUGGGGGGACCAUCCUCCAAGGCUAAAUACUCCUGACUGACCGAUAGUGAACCAGUACCGUGAGGGAAAGGCGAAAAGAACCCCGGCGAGGGGAGUGAAAAAGAACCUGAAACCGUGUACGUACAAGCAGUGGGAGCACGCUUAGGCGUGUGACUGCGUACCUUUUGUAUAAUGGGUCAGCGACUUAUAUUCUGUAGCAAGGUUAACCGAAUAGGGGAGCCGAAGGGAAACCGAGUCUUAACUGGGCGUUAAGUUGCAGGGUAUAGACCCGAAACCCGGUGAUCUAGCCAUGGGCAGGUUGAAGGUUGGGUAACACUAACUGGAGGACCGAACCGACUAAUGUUGAAAAAUUAGCGGAUGACUUGUGGCUGGGGGUGAAAGGCCAAUCAAACCGGGAGAUAGCUGGUUCUCCCCGAAAGCUAUUUAGGUAGCGCCUCGUGAAUUCAUCUCCGGGGGUAGAGCACUGUUUCGGCAAGGGGGUCAUCCCGACUUACCAACCCGAUGCAAACUGCGAAUACCGGAGAAUGUUAUCACGGGAGACACACGGCGGGUGCUAACGUCCGUCGUGAAGAGGGAAACAACCCAGACCGCCAGCUAAGGUCCCAAAGUCAUGGUUAAGUGGGAAACGAUGUGGGAAGGCCCAGACAGCCAGGAUGUUGGCUUAGAAGCAGCCAUCAUUUAAAGAAAGCGUAAUAGCUCACUGGUCGAGUCGGCCUGCGCGGAAGAUGUAACGGGGCUAAACCAUGCACCGAAGCUGCGGCAGCGACGCUUAUGCGUUGUUGGGUAGGGGAGCGUUCUGUAAGCCUGCGAAGGUGUGCUGUGAGGCAUGCUGGAGGUAUCAGAAGUGCGAAUGCUGACAUAAGUAACGAUAAAGCGGGUGAAAAGCCCGCUCGCCGGAAGACCAAGGGUUCCUGUCCAACGUUAAUCGGGGCAGGGUGAGUCGACCCCUAAGGCGAGGCCGAAAGGCGUAGUCGAUGGGAAACAGGUUAAUAUUCCUGUACUUGGUGUUACUGCGAAGGGGGGACGGAGAAGGCUAUGUUGGCCGGGCGACGGUUGUCCCGGUUUAAGCGUGUAGGCUGGUUUUCCAGGCAAAUCCGGAAAAUCAAGGCUGAGGCGUGAUGACGAGGCACUACGGUGCUGAAGCAACAAAUGCCCUGCUUCCAGGAAAAGCCUCUAAGCAUCAGGUAACAUCAAAUCGUACCCCAAACCGACACAGGUGGUCAGGUAGAGAAUACCAAGGCGCUUGAGAGAACUCGGGUGAAGGAACUAGGCAAAAUGGUGCCGUAACUUCGGGAGAAGGCACGCUGAUAUGUAGGUGAGGUCCCUCGCGGAUGGAGCUGAAAUCAGUCGAAGAUACCAGCUGGCUGCAACUGUUUAUUAAAAACACAGCACUGUGCAAACACGAAAGUGGACGUAUACGGUGUGACGCCUGCCCGGUGCCGGAAGGUUAAUUGAUGGGGUUAGCCGCAAGGCGAAGCUCUUGAUCGAAGCCCCGGUAAACGGCGGCCGUAACUAUAACGGUCCUAAGGUAGCGAAAUUCCUUGUCGGGUAAGUUCCGACCUGCACGAAUGGCGUAAUGAUGGCCAGGCUGUCUCCACCCGAGACUCAGUGAAAUUGAACUCGCUGUGAAGAUGCAGUGUACCCGCGGCAAGACGGAAAGACCCCGUGAACCUUUACUAUAGCUUGACACUGAACAUUGAGCCUUGAUGUGUAGGAUAGGUGGGAGGCUUAGAAGUGUGGACGCCAGUCUGCAUGGAGCCGACCUUGAAAUACCACCCUUUAAUGUUUGAUGUUCUAACGUUGACCCGUAAUCCGGGUUGCGGACAGUGUCUGGUGGGUAGUUUGACUGGGGCGGUCUCCUCCUAAAGAGUAACGGAGGAGCACGAAGGUUGGCUAAUCCUGGUCGGACAUCAGGAGGUUAGUGCAAUGGCAUAAGCCAGCUUGACUGCGAGCGUGACGGCGCGAGCAGGUGCGAAAGCAGGUCAUAGUGAUCCGGUGGUUCUGAAUGGAAGGGCCAUCGCUCAACGGAUAAAAGGUACUCCGGGGAUAACAGGCUGAUACCGCCCAAGAGUUCAUAUCGACGGCGGUGUUUGGCACCUCGAUGUCGGCUCAUCACAUCCUGGGGCUGAAGUAGGUCCCAAGGGUAUGGCUGUUCGCCAUUUAAAGUGGUACGCGAGCUGGGUUUAGAACGUCGUGAGACAGUUCGGUCCCUAUCUGCCGUGGGCGCUGGAGAACUGAGGGGGGCUGCUCCUAGUACGAGAGGACCGGAGUGGACGCAUCACUGGUGUUCGGGUUGUCAUGCCAAUGGCACUGCCCGGUAGCUAAAUGCGGAAGAGAUAAGUGCUGAAAGCAUCUAAGCACGAAACUUGCCCCGAGAUGAGUUCUCCCUGACUCCUUGAGAGUCCUGAAGGAACGUUGAAGACGACGACGUUGAUAGGCCGGGUGUGUAAGCGCAGCGAUGCGUUGAGCUAACCGGUACUAAUGAACCGUGAGGCUUAACCUU